rnacentral:rRNA from 1 species
GUAGGGAAUAUUGGGCAAUGGAGGCAACUCUGACCCAGCCAUGCCGCGUGCAGGAUGACGGCCCUCUGGGUUGUAAACUGCUUUUAUACGGGAAGAAAAAAUACUACGUGUAGUAUACUGACGGUACCGUAAGAAUAAGGAUCGGCUAACUCCGUGCCAGCAGCCGCGGUAAUACGGAGGAUCCAAGCGUUGUCCGGAUUUAUUGGGUUUAAAGGGUGCGUAGGCGGAUCUUUAAGUCAGUGGUGAAAGCCUGCAGCUUAACUGUAGAAAUGCCAUUGAAACUGAAGAUCUUGAAUGUGGUUAAAGUAGGCGGAAUGUAUCAUGUAGCGGUGAAAUGCUUAGAUAUGAUACAGAACACCGAUAGCGAAGGCAGCUUGCUGAACCAUUAUUGACGCUGAGGCACGAAAGCGUGGGGAGCGAACAGGAUUAGAUACCCUUGUAGUCC